UACGAAGGGGGCUAGCGUUGUUCGGAUUUACUGGGCGUAAAGCGCACGUAGGCGGCUUGUUAAGUCAGGGGUGAAAUCCUGGAGCUCAACUCCAGAACUGCCUUUGAUACUGGCGAUCUUGAGUCCGGAAGAGGUGAGUGGAACUCCUAGUGUAGAGGUGGAAUUCGUAGAUAUUAGGAAGAACACCAGUGGCGAAGGCGGCUCACUGAUCCGGUACUGACGCUGAGGUGCGAAAGCGUGGGGAGCAAACAGG
rnacentral:rRNA from 1 species